UACGUAGGGUGCAAGCGUUAAUCGGAAUUACUGGGCGUAAAGCGUGCGCAGGCGGUGAUGUAAGACAGAUGUGAAAUCCCCGGGCUUAACCUGGGAACCGCAUUUGUGACUGCAUAGCUGGAGUACGGCAGAGGGGGAUGGAAUUCCGCGUGUAGCAGUGAAAUGCGUAGAUAUGCGGAGGAACACCGAUGGCGAAGGCAGUCCCCUGGGCCUGUACUGACGCUCAUGCACGAAAGCGUGGGGAGCAAACAGG
rnacentral:rRNA from 1 species